GAUUGAACGCUGGCGGCAUGCCUAACACAUGCAAGUCGAACGGGAGUAGCAAUACUCUAGUGGCGGACGGGUGAGGAAUACGUAGGAAUUUGCCCUUAAGUGGGGGAUAACCCGGGGAACCCGGAUUAAUACCGCAUGACCUCGAAAGAGCAAAGUGGGGGAUCGCAAGACCUCACGCUUUUGGAGAAGCCUACGUCGGAUUAGCUAGUUGGUGAGGUAAUGGCUCACCAAGGCGACGAUCCGUAACUGGUCUGAGAGGAUGAUCAGUCACACCGGAACUGAGACACGGUCCGGACUCCGUACGGGAGGCCAGCAGGUGGGGAAUA
rnacentral:rRNA from 1 species